GAUGAACGCUGGCGGCGUGCCUAAUACAUGCAAGUCGAGCGAACAGACGAGGAGCUUGCUCCUCUGACGUUAGCGGCGGACGGGUGAGUAACACGUGGAUAACCUACCUAUAAGACUGGGAUAACUUCGGGAAACCGGAGCUAAUACCGGAUAACAUGUUGAACCGCAUGGUUCAACAGUGAAAGACGGUCUUGCUGUCACUUAUAGAUGGAUCCGCGCCGCAUUAGCUAGUUGGUAAGGUAACGGCUUACCAAGGCAACGAUGCGUAGCCGACCUGAGAGGGUGAUCGGCCACACUGGAACUGAGACGCGGUCCAGACUCCUACGGGAGGCAGCAGUAGGGAAUCUUCCGCAAUGGGCGAAAGCCUGACGGAGCAACGCCGCGUGAGUGAAGAAGGUCUUCGGAUCGUAAAACUCUGUUAUUAGGGAAGAACAAAUGUGUAAGUAACUAGGCACGUCUUGACGGUACCUAAUGAGAAAGCCACGGCUAACUACGUG
rnacentral:rRNA from 1 species